AAAGAUAAGCACAAAGAUAAAGAACAUAAAGACAAAGACAAGAAGAAGAAGAAAGACAAGGAGCACAAGAAGAAGGACGGUGACAAGUCCUCGUCUUCCUCCAGCGAUUCGGACUAAAGCAAGACUGAAGAUUCAUCAGAUACCUCCAAAAUCAUAAUUUAAAAUCUUUAUUAUAUGAUUUUUGUAGAUGUAUAAAUGCAAUAUUAUGCAAUGCAGGGGGUAGUAAUAAAUAAUCAUUAUCAAUCUCUUGAAGUUUUCAUAAAGUUUGAGCUGUAAUUACAAACUUCCACAAGGUGGUGCUACUUGCAUGCCAAAUCUUCAGUGAAGCACUGGAAUAAAGAGAUUUAUAAGCUA